ensembl:lncRNA
UGACAUUUUAUCAACUUCUUGGCUCAACAGAUUUCAUUUUGAUAAACAACACUCUGUGAUGGUUGUGUUAGAAGCGUUCUGAGUGGUGACCUCUAACCUUUGCAUCUGAGUCUUCACCUCUUCCGCACUCGUGAGUGACGGGCCGUCAAGGCACACGCUGCAGGCUCUCCUCCUCGCACCUCUGCUUCCUGGUGCCCGCGGCCCUCGUGUCUUUCGAGUUCGUUGGUCUCUUCCUCUGGUGCUGCUGAGGUUCUCUGUGUCCUCCACUCGACAGUGCGGAAACAGCCAUGUCUGCCUCAGUCCACUCACGUGAGCAGCCACACGGGACCCUCAGCCACCCGUUAACCGUGCGGAUCUAACGUGGCCUCAGUAUUGAUCCGCCCCGUUGGUUUGGUUUCAUCUUGCAGGACAGGCUCCUGUGACAAGCUCUCUAAGGAGUUUGGACUCUUGCUUCUGUCACAGCCACAGAGCCUCGGGUCGCCUCCCACGACGUCAUUCCAGGCAGUAAUGGAGUCGCUGACGGGGCAAGGCGAGGACAGUGUGGGCCCCAACAGCUCCUUUCCUCCAGUGCAGCAGCUUGGCGGGCUGGCUGCUCAGCCCGCAUCUGCACCAUCGCCCUGAAGCUCAGAAGGUCCUGGGGACUCGGGCGGGUGCUUCGCCGAAGUGCUGAUUCUGCGUCUGCAGAAGGGCCGUCCCAGGCCCCCUGGAGCCGGUGCACGCCUGUCAGAUGCAGUGACUCGUUCAGUCCUGGGUUAACUGGAUCACAGCACGGUCCUGCCCAGUGGAGCCUCACUCUGGGGGACCAGGCGCCAAAAGGAUGCCUGCAGGAUCCCGAGACUUCUCAGCGCAACGAGACGGGGCCAGGGUGCUGCUCCCAGACAGGUAUGUGGGCUCCCAACGUUCCAGAGGAAGCAAGGACGUCAGGAGCCAGGAGAACAGCUGAGACGAGCCAAUUCUCCAAAGAGACACGGACCCCCAGCACAGGCCGCACACUAAGGAUGCGUAUGUGACCCGUCGUGCAGAGCCUGGGAAAUGCAUUGUGACAGCGCAGGAAACAGACACGCUGAGGCCACCCCAAGAAAAGGGCCUUGUCCUAAGGCUCCGGGAGCCCCCAGCAGAAUGGGGCAUAUGGGUCCAGGCGCCCUCCUGGCCCCUCCACGCGCUGCGCUGCAUGUGGAAGCCUGGAUCACGGCCAGUCACUGCCGGCACCCACGGGCACAGGGCGCCAGCCAGGCCGCGGCAGUGAAGACGGAUGACGAGGCCCAGCCUGGUGUGCCCACCCCGCCUUUGUCCUCUGCCCCGCAUUCCACUCCCACCUAGCUCAGAGGGCAGCUGCCCACACAGUCCCCUGUCCUGGCUCCUCAGCACCCCGAGACUCUGAAUGAGGGGACCUGCAAGGCCUGCACCCCUGCCCUGGGGGCUCGGCAAGGGUUUUUACUGGAGUGGGUUUUUCCAUCAAAAUCGAGACUCUGGGGGCCAGCCUGGUGGCAUAGUGGUUAAGUUUGCCUGCUCUGCUUCAGUGGCCUAGGUUCGUGGGUUCAGACCCCCGGCAUGGACCUACACCACUUAUCAAGCCGUGCUGUGGCAGCAUCCCACAUGCAAAAUAGAGCAAGAUUAGCACAGAUGUCAGCUCAGGGACAAUCUUCCUCACCAAAAACAAAAACCCCAAAGUUCUGGGAGCAGCUGUUAUAAUUUACAAACUGCUUUAAAUCUUGACCAUCCGAGCC